UGUAGUCGAAAAUGUUGUCUCUCUUGAGUGGAUCCUGAGUACGACGGAGCACGUGAAAUUCCGUCGGAAUCUGGGAGGACCAUCUCCUAAGGCUAAAUACUCUCUAGUGACCGAUAGUGAACCAGUACCGUGAGGGAAAGGUGAAAAGCACCCCGGAAGGGGAGUGAAAUAGAACCUGAAACCGUGUGCUUACAAGUAGUCAGAGCCCGUUAAUGGGUGAUGGCGUGCCUUUUGUAGAAUGAACCGGCGAGUUACGAUUUGAUGCAAGGUUAAGCAGUAAAUGUGGAGCCGUAGCGAAAGCGAGUCUGAAUAGGGCGUUUAGUAUUUGGUCGUAGACCCGAAACCAGGUGAUCUACCCUUGGUCAGGUUGAAGUUCAGGUAACACUGAAUGGAGGACCGAACCGACUUACGUUGAAAAGUGAGCGGAUGAACUGAGGGUAGCGGAGAAAUUCCAAUCGAACCUGGAGAUAGCUGGUUCUCUCCGAAAUAGCUUUAGGGCUAGCCUCAAGUGAUGAUUAUUGGAGGUAGAGCACUGUUUGGACGAGGGGCCCCUCUCGGGUUACCGAAUUCAGACAAACUCCGAAUGCCAAUUAAUUUAACUUGGGAGUCAGAACAUGGGUGAUAAGGUCCGUGUUCGAAAGGGAAACAGCCCAGACCACCAGCUAAGGUCCCAAAAUAUAUGUUAAGUGGAAAAGGAUGUGGCGUUGCCCAGACAACUAGGAUGUUGGCUUAGAAGCAGCCAUCAUUUAAAGAGUGCGUAAUAGCUCACUAGUCGAGUGACACUGCGCCGAAAAUGUACCGGGGCUAAACAUAUUACCGAAGCUGUGGAUUGUCCUUUGGACAAUGGUAGGAGAGCGUUCUAAGGGCGUUGAAGCAUGAUCGUAAGGACAUGUGGAGCGCUUAGAAGUGAGAAUGCCGGUGUGAGUAGCGAAAGACGGGUGAGAAUCCCGUCCACCGAUUGACUAAGGUUUCCAGAGGAAGGCUCGUCCGCUCUGGGUUAGUCGGGUCCUAAGCUGAGGCCGACAGGCGUAGGCGAUGGAUAACAGGUUGAUAUUCCUGUACCACCUAUA
rnacentral:rRNA from 1 species